CGAAUGUAGCGGUGACAUGCACAGAUAUUCGGAAGAACACCAGUGGCGAAGGCGGUUUACCAGCCCAAGACUGACGCUCAGUCACGAAAGCGUGGGGAGCAAAUAGGCUUAGAUACCCUAGUAGUCCACGCUGUAAACGAUGAGGACCAGAUGCCGGAUUAGAUUUCGGUGUCAAAGCUAACGCAUUAAGUCCUCCGCCUGGGUACUACGUUCGCAAGAAUAAAACUUAAAGGAAUUGACGGGGACCCGCACAAGCAGUGGAGCAUGUGGUUUAAUUCGACUCUACGCGGAAAACCUUACCAGGGUUUGACAUCCCGGCUAAAGACCUAGAGAUAGGGGAAUAUAUGCCGGUGAAAGGUGGUGCAUGGUUGUCGUCAGCUCGUGUCGUGAGAUGUUGGGUUAAGUCCCAAAACGAGCGCAACCCCUGUCCUUAGUUGCCAUCAUUAAGUUGGGAACUCUAAGGAGACUGCCGAUGCAAGUCGGAGGAAGAUGGGGACGACGUCAAAUCAUCAUGCCCCUUAUGCCCUGGGCCACACACGUGCUACAAUGGCCGUCACAAAGAGUCGCAACAGGGUGACCUGAAGCUAAUCUCCUAAAGUCGGUCUCAGUUCGGAUUGGAGUCUGCAACUCGACUCCAUGAAGCUGGAAUUGCUAGUAAUCGCAGAUCAGAAUUGCUGCGGUGAGUACGUUCCCGGGUCUUGUACACACUGCCCGUCACACCAUGAGAGUUGGCAAUGCUCGAAGUCGUUAUCCUAACUAAGCAAUUAGAGGGAGGCGCCUAAGGCAGGGCUGAUGAUUGGGGUUAAGUCGUAANCAAGGUAACCCGAAAGGGGCGAAUUCGUAACUCGC
rnacentral:rRNA from 1 species